AUGCCAGGUUUAAGCCGAGAGCUAGUGGAGCAUCGGUUACCUAUAAAGGCCGGUUUUAGACCAUACAAGCAAUCGGCCAGAAAGUUUAAUCCAAAAACGUAUGAUCAGAUUAAGGAAGAGAUCGGUCGUUUGCUUAAAGCUAAUUUUAUUAGACCUUGCAGGUAUGCCGAGUGGAUUUCUAACAUUGUACCAGUGGAGAAGAAAGGCUCCGACAAGUUGAGGGUGUGCAUUGAUUUCAGAGAUUUGAAUAGAGCUACACCUAAACAUGAGUAUCCUAUGCCAAUAGCCGAUAUGCUUAUUAAUGAUGCUUCUCGACAUAAGGUCAUUAGCUUUCUUGAUGGUAAUGCGGGUUAUAGCCAGAUUUUUAUGGCCGAAGAGGACAUGUCCAAAACAGCUUUUCGAUGUCCCGGUUUCCUUGGUUUAUUUGAGUGGACAGUGAUGACCUUUGGAUUAAAAAAUGUCGGUGCCAUGUAUCAAAGGGCUAUGAAUUUAAUUUUCAUGAUUUACUUGGUGUUAUACUUGAGGUUUAUAUUGAUGAUACUGUUGUCAAACCGGAUGCUUUUGAAUCCCAUCUAG
rnacentral:rRNA from 1 species